GUGCCAGCCGCCGCGGUAAGACGGAGGGUGCAAACGUUGUUCGGAAUUACUGGGCGUAAAGCGCGUGUAGGCGGUCCGAAAAGUCGGGUGUGAAAUCCCUCGGCUCAACCGAGUGAAUGGCAUUCGAUACUGCCGGACUGGAGUUCGGGAGAGGGACGUGGAAUUCCCGGUGUAGAGGUGAAAUUCGUAGAUAUCGGGAGGAACACCGGUGGCGAAGGCGGCGUCCUGGACCGAUACUGACGCUGAGACGCGAAAGCGUGGGGAGCAAACAGGAUUAGAUACCCGCGUAGUCC
rnacentral:rRNA from 1 species